CCUACGGGAGACAGCAGUGGGGAAUAUUGGGCAAUGGAGGAAACUCUGACCCAGCAAUGCCGCGUGAAUGAAGAAGGUCUUCGGAUUGUAAAGUUCUUUAGUCAGGGAAGAAGUCAAUGCCGGUACCUGAAGAAUAAGCUCCGGCUAACUACGUGCCAGCAGCCGCGGUAAUACGUAGGGAGCAAGCGUUGUUCGGAAUGACUGGGCGGAAAGGGUGCGUAGGCGGUUGUACAAGUUAGAAUGGAAAUACCCAGGGCUUAACUCGGGUGCUGCUUCUGAAACUGUAUGACUUGAGUGCAGUAGAGGUUAGUGGAAUGCGUGGUGUAGCGGUGGAAUGCAUAGAUAUUACGAGGAACACCAGAGGCGAAGGCGGCUAACUGGAGUGCAACUGACGCUGAGGCACGAAAGUGUGGGGAGCAAACAGGAUUAGAUACCCCGGUAGUC
rnacentral:rRNA from 1 species